AUUGAACGCUGGCGGUAUGCUUAAGACAUGCAAGUCGAACGGUAACAGAUGGAGCUUGCUCCAUGCUGACGAGUGGCGGACGGGUGAGUAACACGUGGAAAUCUACCCAGUAGCGGGGGAUAAGUCAGAGAAAUUUGAUCUAAUACCGCAUACGCCCUACGGGGGAAAGGCUUCGGCCACUAUUGGAUGAGUCCGCGUUAGAUUAGCUAGAUGGUGAGGUAAUGGCUCACCAUGGCGACGAUCUAUAGCUGUUCUGAGAGGAUGAUCAGCCACAUUGGGACUGAGACACGGCCCAGACUCCUACGGGAGGCAGCAGUCGGGAAUAUUGGACAAUGGGGGGAACCCUGAUCCAGCAAUACCGCGUGUGUGAAGAAGGCCUGCGGGUUGUAAAGCACUUUCAGUUGGGAAGAUAAUGACGUUACCAACAGAAGAAGCACCGGCUAACUCCG
rnacentral:rRNA from 1 species